rnacentral:tRNA from 1 species
GGAGUUAUAUUUUAAGAGAAGGUUUGGUUUGCAACUAAAAGGUGGGUAAUAAUUUGCCCUAACUCCA